rnacentral:lncRNA from 1 species
GAAAUCCAAAUACGAGAAGCAGUCGUUCGCCCAAAUUGUUUAACCAUUCUUCGCUUUAAAGGUAUAUUCAUGAUUGCCUCUCUAUUCCUUAUACUCUCUGCUAUUUUUUUUGGUACUGAUUUCUUUAUUUUUGUAAUGUUUGUUUGCUCAUCAUUUUUGCAUUUUCAUGUUUGUAUUUUUCUUUUCUUCCACAACCUUUUCCUUUAGAUGAACACAGAAUUUAAAAUAUGUUUACUUUCAUAUUAUUCAUAUCUUAAAAGUAAAGAAAAACAUUGAGUUCUUAUUUAAUUUGGUUAUUUUGUGUUUCUUCAAUUGGAAAACCAUUUAUAACUUUCUUAUUAAAAUGUAAAAUUAUAUUAUUCCUGUUUAUACAUAAUUAGAUGUUUAUGAUUAUUGUCAUAACUCAAUUUUCCCCAUUCAUCAACAUUAACACUUGCUAUUUUCCCACUUUUUUAUAACAGAGUCAAGACCUCCAUCAAAGAGAAGAAAAGUCAUGAAGAAAUUGCAAAACAAAGCCCAACGAAUUAAACAACGUGCUGCUCAAAACUAUUCAAAUUUUGCUAUUUUAAUAGCUCCUUCCCACUAUUAACAUCUCAAUGUAUAUACAAACAUGUGUACUAUUUUAACAUAACAAGUAGCUUAUAAAAUAUGUGAUUUCUUUUUUUUCCACUUAUACUUCCUUAGUUAAGCAUAAUGCUACGAGUUAAAUCUCAUUGUAUAUAUAAACAAUUUUAUUUUGUC